GACGAACGCUGGCGGCGUGCUUAACACAUGCAAGUCGAACGGAGUGGCGAACGGGUGAGUAACACGUGGGUGAUCUGCCUUGCACUUCGGGAUAAGCUUGGGAAACUGGGUCUAAUACCGGAUAGUGCAAGAUGAGCUCGCGGCCUAUCAGCUUGUUGGUGGGGUAAUGGCCUACCAAGGCGUCGCCGGGUAGCCGGCCUGGGAGGGGGUACGGCGACAUGGGGCCUGCGAGAGGGCGCAGAGUCGUACGGGAGGCAGCAGGGGGGAAUAUGACACAAUCAGCGGAAGCCUGAGGAAGCGACGCCGGGUGGGGGAUGAAGGCCUUCGGGUUGGAAACUCCUUUCGACAGGGACGCGGUACCUGUAUAAGAAGCACCGGCUAACUACGUGCCAGCAGCCGCGGUAAUAC
rnacentral:rRNA from 1 species